GGAAGACGUGGCUGUUGCAGUGGCAGCUGUCAUCCAAAUCAUUCUCAGAGGUGUACUUGAAUGCUACUUUAGUAUUUAUUGUUUUAUAUUCUAUCUUCACACGUUUAUUCGGCUUCAAGAUGAUUUCGCUCACGGACUCCCAAAAGAUCGGAAUGGGAUUAACAGGCUUCGGCGUGUUUUUCCUCUUCUUCGGGAUGAUCCUGUUCUUUGACAAAGCACUCCUGGCUAUUGGAAACAUCCUGUUUGUUGCUGGACUUGCCUUUGUCAUCGGGCUGGAGAGGACCUUCCGCUUCUUCUUCCAGAAGCACAAGAUGAAGGCCACCAGUUUCUUCCUGGGAGGUGUGUUUGUGGUGCUGAUUGGCUGGCCCAUUAUCGGAGUUGUGCUGGAGGUCUAUGGCUUUUUCCUCUUGUUCAGGGGUUUCUUCCCAGUUGUGGUGGGCUUCAUCAGAAGAAUACCCGUCCUUGGCUCCAUCCUGAACCUGCCCUUCAUCAGUGCAGUGUCCAUUUCAAAGAGCGUCUUGACUUCAUUUUGACUUUCCUGGUUGAGAAGAACUAUGACAGCUUCCUCUAUUUUGGACUGGGGGCUCUUAAGAGACCGUCACUACCUGCAAAGUGACCAGCAGAAGACACCUUUCCAAUCCAUCAAUCAGUCAAACUUGAUUUGUAUAGCACCUUUCAUACAGUAUGUGGACAGAGUGGGCGAGAGCAACACCAUGGUAUAACAGUGACUUUUUGUACCCAGAGAAGGCUUUUUGAGUACAGCAGAUUUUGUAAAGCAACUCCAUCUCCCACUGGGCUGAUUUACAGCAGCUGAGGUUAUACGUUCAGAUUCCUCCCCCCUCCAGCCGGCAAAGACUGCUCUGUCUGUCUGCCAUUCCACUGGUCAGUGCUACCAAUCAAAGGUUCAUCAGAGCGUCGCACCACCAGUCUGUUACUACAGGAUGGACUUCAUAAGGUCACUACAAUAAAUAUAUCAAUGCUAUUGAUCCCGUCACCGUUGAGUGCAUCUGGCACAAAAAUGGAGGAUGCAACACUCUGUCUACGUGACUUUCCUACUCUAUGGAACAAACCACUGACCCUCCACAAGGAUGAGAAGUGAACCGACAGCUUGCCAUGUUGCCACAUUUCUGUGCCUGUGCUUUGACUUCAUUUGGACAAAAGGUUUUUAGGUCCAACAGUUUGUGUCUGCAGAUUUUCUGUGACACCUGUCAGCUAUUUGAAUACCAAGUGUGGCCAUUUUAUUAUUUUCCCUUUUGUUUCUUGUCAUUUCUGUUUACAGUUGGCUUAUAAAUAUUUCAGUAUGGAUACUUUUUCGAAUGAUCUGGGCUUUAUUUCAUAAAUAGUGAGGGGCUACGAGAUCAUGCUAGUAUUUGUUACUAUUGAUAUUAAGACUCCUACUACACCAGAAAGUGGCAACAGCAACUUUUCUGAUGACAUGGAUGGUGCAGUUCAUUGGUAAUGUUGAAGGUCACAAAAGCUCUCCAAGCUAGCUGGUUUGCUAACUGGCAGUAGCAAGCAAGGUAGCUCAAACUUAAGGUUGAGUGCAUUCAAGAAGCAAAUGUGUACCAUGGUGUCCUGUCUGAUAACAGCACAGUAUAACACCAUUUGUCUUUAAAGCAUAAUUCUGGCUUAUUUUAACUUGGGUCUUAUGAAAGCCAAAACUAAUGAAACCAACUUGUUGUAGAGUUAUGCCAUUAUGGACAUAACAUUACUUGUAUGGUCCUGGUUUCUCACUUGAAGAAUUCCGAUCAGGGGUUUAGAGCAGUCAAAGUCUGUGUGUAAAGAAAUGUACUUACACUAAAGCAGCUGCACCUUUUUCCUGUGGACCUCCAGAGCUUUUCUAUGUAAAUGAGCAUUUGUUUCAUGAGACCUCUAGUCCUCUCCUUAUUCAUUUGAUGAAUGAAUGUCCUUAAACACUCUCUCUCUCUCUCUCUCUCUCUCUUGACCUUUAAAUGUUAAGAUAUUUUCUUUCUUUGUGGGAGAAAAUUCUUCUGUAUUACAGACAUCAGUCCCCACAUCCCAGGAACUGAAUAAAUGAAGUCAACUGUGGGUUUUUGUGCUCAGAGUUAGUUUCCUGUGAGAUGACAAUGUUUUGCUGUAUGGCACUUUUGUAAAUAAAUUAUGGAAAUUUGCUUUCUAUCUGCCA